rnacentral:pre_miRNA from 2 species
GUUGAGGGGAAUGUCGUCUGGUUCGAGAUCAUUCAUGUAAGUAGUCUCAGACGUAACCCUUUGGGUGAUUUCGGACCAGGCUUCAUUCCCCUCAGC